rnacentral:rRNA from 1 species
AUGAUUGUAGCUAACACCCUCUUUAGAAAGGGAGAAUCACAUCCGGUGACUUUUAGUAGUGGCCAACACUCUAGCCAGAUUGAUUUCAUCCUCUCGAGAAGAGAAGAUAGGCGUGCGUGCCUAGACUGUAAGGUGAUACUUGGAGAGAGUGUUGUACCCCAGCAUAAGCUGGUGGUUGCUGACUUCCGCUUUCGGAUUCAUGUCCAGCGGGAUAAGCAUGCCAAAGUCGCUAGAACGAAGUGGUGGGAGCUCAAGGGGGAGGUAGCUCAGGCGUUCAAGGAGAGGGUCAUUAAGGAGGGCCCUUGGGAGGAAGGAGGGGAUGCAGACAAUGUGUGGAUGAAGAUGGCGACUUGCAUUCGUAAGGUGGCCUCGGAGGAGUUUGGAGUGUCCAGGGGAAGGAGGAGCGAAGAUAAGGAUACCUGGUGGUGGAAUGAUGAUGUCCAGAAGGCGAUUAAAGAGAAGAAAGAUUGCUUCAGACGCCUAUACCUGGAUAGGAGUGCAGACAACAUAGAGAAGUACAAGAUGGCGAAGAAGGCCACAAAGCGAGCUGUUGGUGAAGCAAGGGGUCGGGCAUAUGAGGACCUCUACCAACGGUUGAGCAUGAAGGAAGGCGAAAGGGACAUCUAUAAGAUGGCCAAGAUCCGAGAGAGGAAGACGAGGGAUAUUGGCCAAGUCAAAUGCAUCAAGGACGAAGCAGACCAACUCUUGGUGAAGGACGAGGAGAUUAAGCAUAGAUGGCGGGAGUACUUCGACAAGCUGUUCAAUGGGGAGAAUGAGAGUUCUACCAUUGAACUGGCCAACUCCUUUGAUGAGACCAUCAUGCGUUUUGUGCGGCGAAUCCAGUAG